UGUGUAUUUUGCAGUUUGUCUUGAGAUUUGGGCUGUUGAGAGACUCAGCUUCUAUCCUUCAACUGCAUCUAAAUGCAAAAUCUAUAAAGGUGCUCACAAUAUACAAGGGUCAAAGUAAUGUGAUUCAUCUGAAGGCGCCAAAAUACUGCAUGAUGAUGUAUAAUUAAAUGAAAUCAAAUCUAGAAAUGUAUUUACUUUUUAAUUAUUUUUACUUCGUCCAAGUCAAAAUAUUCAGAAACAGUCCUCAUUAGCUCUUGUUCCAGUUGAUCAAGGAUAAGAAACAGUGUGAUAACUAAUAAGCUAUUUUCAGCAUGAAUGCACAAAGGGUAGUUUAUGCAAUAAAUGGUAAAUGGUCUGUACUUAUUUACCGCUUUAACCACCAUUCCAGGAUCCAAAGCAUUGUACACUACUUCUCAUUCACCCAUUAGCAUUCACACACAGAUGCCAGUGGCUGCCAUGCACCGGCGCUCGUUUGAAACAUCAGGGGCAAGGUAGGGUUCAGUUUCUUGCCCAAGGACCACUGCGAGGGCUCGAACUGCCAACCUUGCAGUUAGAGGACAAACUCCCUACUGACAAUAAUUUGGGUGUGUAAUCCAGGAUUAAAAAUUGAACAGCAACUGCCAUCCUAAAUGCAAAUAAGGUUUUGCUGUAGCGGAGGGUUUUAUUGGCAAAUAAAUAACUUUCCUUUUGCUCAACAGACGUCGAUCUGCCUAUAUGUAUGAUAACUGCUCUAAUUAUUACUUUUCAGUCUGAUCAGUUCAUGCUAUGAGGAAUGAACAGAUGCAGUAGCAAUAAUGAAGCAGGAAUAACUUAUUAGAGUCGUCAGUAUAGUUUUAGUAUUCAUCUUUGCUUGUGCUUUAUAUAAUACUAUUAUCUUAAUAACGUGGCGUCCAUUUUGAAACGAUCCUGAAUCAAGUUACAUUGUCUUCUUCUAUGGUGUCUAUGGCAGGCAGCAAAGGCGAAAUCAUGCUGGGUCACGAAGAAGAACAAGAAGACUGUGUGCGUUACGCAACACUGACAGGGAGAGAUGAGACAAGGCAAGAUAGAGUCAGAGAGCAGGAACCAGGAGAGCUGUGCCUCACACGGGUAGAAAUCUGCCUAUAAACCACAUGGGCUGUGGUUCAAGUCGAAUUCCUCCUUGUCACAAGUACACACCCUCCAUUUAAGGUAACGAGGGACUCCUGAACCCUGCCCUCAAUGUGAAAGUAUUGCAAGACGGAUUGUUUUAUAGCAUAAUUAAGCUUUGUAUGAUUUUUGCAUCUCUGAAAUUUUAUGGUUUGUCAUUUGCCAAAAAGGCCAUUAAGAAUCUGUCACAAUGCUGCAUCAGCUAUCAUUUUAAAUAUUUAUACGAAACCUAAAUCCUCAUCUUAACCCUCAAGUUGUCAAUUGCCUAAGAGCAGCUUUACUGUAGUUUUACUAACUUUUAAGCGUGUGACAGCACUAAUUUUGGAAUUCGAUAUGCUAUUUGUACAUACUACUUCACUCUGCUGAUUCAUACCUGUUGUUUACAGGAUCAACAUCUAACCUAAAUGUAGCACAAUUUACCUCUGCACAUAGCACAUUUUGAAGUUACUGUUGUGUUUUGUCUCCCUGGAGGUUUACUAGCACUUACAUACCAGACAGUACAUAAUAAAUGUUCCAUCAUACCUCUGUCUAACUCA
ensembl:lncRNA